CUAUUAUGAGUACGAUCGCCCUCGUACUCAUAAGUUGUUUUCGAUGAUAGAGCUUCCGAAUCGACGAUCCACACCGUUAAACGUUAUUUACAGCAUUUAAAACUCCUAGAAAUUAAAUUUUAUAAUUUUUCGACAUCAUUUACCUUACGAUCAGGAGGUCACAAAUUUGACAAGUUUUAACGGCCGGUAUGGGAUACUUGCUAGUUUAACGGUGUAAAGAAUCGGAAUUUGUUGAAUUUUUUGAAUUUGUUGCUUUUGUGUUUUUAGCUCUUGGAUGGAGAGAUGUAGGGUUGAGAUGGUAGUGGUAGGUGGUGGUAGGUGGAAUAGUGUUUGAUCCAAGGGGUAUUAGUAAUUGGGGAGUAGAUCCAAGGACUAGAAACUUAGAAGCACCAAUGUGUUGGUGCUUCUAAAAGUAUUCUAACUCCACUCAUAUAUAUAUAUACAUAUAGGCCAUGGCUACUAUACUAUUAUGAGUAUUGGAGCCCUUGUACUCAUAAGUUGUUUUCAAUGAUGGAGCUUCCGAAUCGAUGAUCCACUCCGUUAAAUAUAAUCUAGAGUAUUUGAAAUUUCUAGAAAAUAAAUUUCGUAAAUUUUCGAAAUCAUAAUAAAGUCCAUCAAGCGGGCAUAAAAUGAACGGUCAAAAUCGAACGACGUCCUAAAAAAGGAUGAUCGGAUCCUUCAAUUCAAGAUCGGAGUUAUUGAUCUUUAUCUAUAUAGUGAAUAGAAUUUUCUAUCAAAAGUUCAACAAAUUCUGAUUUGUUUAUACCGUUAAACUAGCAAGUAUCCCAUACCGGCCGUUAAAAAUUGUCAAAUUUGUGACCUCUUGAUCGUAAGGUAAAUGAUGUCGAAAAAUUAUAAAAUUUAAUUUCUAGAAGUUUUAAAUGCUGUAAAUAAUGUUUAACGGAGUGGAUCGUCGAUUCGGAAGCUCUAUCAUCGAAAACAACUUAUGAGUACGAGGGCGAUCGUACUCAUAAUAGUAUAGUAGCCGGACCCUAUAUAUAUAUAUAU
rnacentral:lncRNA from 1 species